rnacentral:lncRNA from 1 species
GCCAUUUAAAAAACCCUUCGAAAACUUAUUUCGAAAAAAGCAUGAAGAUUUUAACCUAAGGAAGACAUUUAUGAUUAUUUCUUUUGAUAAAUUUUAAAUAAUAAAAUAACAUGCUAUUAUAGUUCACUAAUAUUUCGAUGAUUUGAUGCUUAGAAUGUUUGCUAAAAUCCUUGUGAUUUGAAAUUUAUUUUGCAGAAAUAUUACAAAAGUGUUGUUCAAUAACACAAAAGAUUGUUUUAUUGGUUGUGCACUUAUCGUUUUUAUCGAUGAACCAAGAUUCAUUUAUGUCUUUUACAAAAAGGGCAUACGAAAAGAGACGCAGUAGACGUGUCCAAAAAGAAUAUUAAAAAAUACUAGAAUUUUCAUCAGUACAUAUAGAAAAAAAAAUCGAAUGUUGGAACUUCUAAAAGAAAUGAUUUCUUAUCUUGCGAAAAUCUAAAAGAAUAUUUUGACCAUCAUGAGUCAUUGAUUUUGUAAAAUAAAUACUCUUAUAACCAAAAGCCUAAUGAGUAUGAGCAUAACCCAACUUUAAAGGAAAGUUUUUCUGUAUGUUUUUCUUAUGCACUAAACAAGUGGAUUGAAAAAUAAGAAUAGCAACAAGUUUAUUGUAAUAACAGAAUAGCAACAAAUUUAUUGUCCCAAAAAAAACUAUAAUCAUGCACUGAAAAAUAACCUUUCGUCAACUAAAGAAUGGCACAAAUUUCCAUUGAUAAAGUAUAAGAUAACAGAUAGUCAGUAUCUAACUUAUUUUGUGUUUUUUUUAAAGAGAUGUUAUUCUCAACGAGCUUGCAGAAAUAAAAGUUCUUUUAAAAGAAGUUAUAGAAAUUAAGUUUCAGGCUACUGGGGUGAAGUUGCUAGAAUCAGUGGACGAAGUGGUUACACUGGAUAAUAAACUAAAAGAUAAAACCGAGUAUACUAAUUUGCUUGAUAGUUUAAAAAAGAUUGGUGGUGGAAAGCCAAGAGAACAUGUUUUUUUGAUCAUGAAAAGGUUAUUUUCGAAUCAGUUACAGUCCAAAUUUAAUCGAAAAGGAAAUGGGGAAAAGAUAAGCAUAGAAAAUCUAGUAAAUAUAUGGAGUGUUAUACAAGGUUCAUGCCUUAGUUUCAG